UCUUAAAUGAAUCAAACAUGUUUUCUCAUGAUGUAGGUUAUAGUGUAUAUUAAAGAAACUGUUGAAGAGAAGAAUUUAUAGAGAGCUGGCUAGAAAAGUACUGUUCAGCAACUUUUAAUGACAGGUGGACAUCUAGAGGGUGACUUGUUAGCUCCUGAGGAUGUUGUUUCUUUGCCGAUUGAUGAUACACAAUUGGAGUAGAAACUAAAGGAAAGUCCCAGAGGUCAGAUUGGGUUUCGGACGAACCAUGUUAACAGCUGUGGUAGGGGUCCUCCUUUGGUGACAUAUAGGAGCAACUGCAAGGCCAUGUUAACUGCUGUGGAUGGAGCUGUCCAAUUGGUUCCGACCGAAGAAGUGUUGUCAAGAUCAUAGGAGUUUGCUUAACAUGGUUCUUGAAGAUUAUUCUAGGAGUUUGCUUAAAUGGUUCCUUAAGAUUAUUCUAAGAGUUUGCUUAAAAUGGAUUAGUUAUUAUUGAUUUGGUGUUUAUUUUACAUUAAAA